UACGAAGGGGGCUAGCGUUGCUCGGAAUCACUGGGCGUAAAGCGCACGUAGGCGGCUUUUUAAGUCAGAGGUGAAAUCCUGGAGCUCAACUCCAGAACUGCCUUUGAUACUGGAGAGCUUGAGUCCGGGAGAGGUGAGUGGAACUGCGAGUGUAGAGGUGAAAUUCGUAGAUAUUAGGAAGAACACCAGUGGCGAAGGCGGCUCACUGGUCCGGUACUGACGCUGAGGUGCGAAAGCGUGGGGAGCAAACAGG
rnacentral:rRNA from 1 species